rnacentral:misc_RNA from 1 species
GAAACGCGAUAGUUAAUGUGAAUUGCAGAAUUCAGUGAAUCAUCGAGUCUUUGAACGCACAUUGCGCCCAUAGGUAUUCCUUUGAGCAUGUCUGUUUGAGCGUCAUUACAACCCUCAGCUAACCGCUGGUUUUGAACCUGAACGGGUGACACCGCGCCGGUUUUAAAGUUGUAAGCUCUGCUGGCCGCUCUGCCCAACCAGAACAUAGUAAGCACUACUUGUCCGGGUGAAGCUGAACGGUACGGCCUGAAUAAAACCUACCCACUCUCAAGGUUUGACCUCAGAUCAGACAAGGAUACCCGCUGAACUUAAGU